rnacentral:rRNA from 1 species
GAUGAACGCUGGCGGUGGGCCUAAUACAUGCAAGUCGAGCGAACAGACGAGGAGCUCUCGCCCUUGCGGUUAGCGGGAGACGGGCGAGUAACGAGUGGAUAAGCAACCUCUAAGACGGGGGUAAUUUCGGGGAGACAGAUACAAUACCGGCUAAUAUGUUCAACGGGAGGAAUCAGUAGUUAAUGACGGCUUUGCCGAUACUAUUAGCUGGUUCCGGGUCGGAUUAGUUAGUUGGUAAGGUAACGGCUUACCAAGGCGACGAUGCGUAGCCGACCUGAGAGGAUGAUCGGCCACACUGGAACUGAGACACGGUCCAGACUCCUACGGGAGGCAGCAGUGGGGAAUAUUGCACAAUGGGCGCAAGCCUGACGGAGCAACACCGCGUGAGUGAAGAAGGUCUUCGGAUCGUAAAACUCUUUUGUUAGGGAAGAACAAAUGUAUAAUUAUAUCUCCACGUCUUGACGGUACCUAAUCAGAAAGCCACGGCUAACUUCGUG